rnacentral:rRNA from 1 species
UACGUAGGGUGCGAGCGUUAAUCGGAAUUACUGGGCGUAAAGCGUGCGCAGGCGGUUCGUGAUGUCUGGUGUGAAAGCCCCGGGCUUAACCUGGGAAUUGCAUUGGAAACUAGCGGGCUGGAGUGUGGCAGAGGGGGGUGGAAUUCCGCGUGUAGCAGUGAAAUGCGUAGAUAUGCGGAGGAACACCGAUGGCGAAGGCAAUCCCCUGGGCCUGCACUGACGCUCAUGCACGAAAGCGUGGGGAGCGAAACAAGGAUUG